rnacentral:hammerhead_ribozyme from 1 species
GUCCAGCUGACGAGUCCUAAAUAGGACGAAACGCGCGUCAAAAUGGAU